UUCUAGAAAAGUCUAUCAAAAACAUAUCAUGAAACGCUGCCAUUUCCAAUGGACUGUACAUGGAUGUAUACUCUCCUUUCCUUCAAUAUGGGACAGUCUCUAGUAUAUUAGCAUGGUCAUAGUGACCUCUAGUGACAAAUAUAUGUAAAACAACUGAUUUUCUUUCACAGGUUUGACUUCCAAAAAACUGAUAUUUGUUGUUAAUAGAAAAAAAAAACAGCUAUGAAAAUGCACAUUAUCAUAAGGCAGCUAUAUCAUUUUUCAGGACUUAGUUCGAUGUUGAAAAUAUUCCUAGAUGAAGUUACUUGAUCUCAAGGCACAACGGUAAAUUUACAACACUUUAUGAAAAUGGACAGUAGAAUAGUGUGCAUAUGACUGUACCAAACAGGCAGAUAUUAAGCCUUCUCACUAUGCUGGAGCUAGCACCUUUAUUCAAUGUGUCAUAGGCCUGUAGAGUCAAUCAACAUGUUAUAAUGCUACUCAACAAUGUCUGCUUGUGUCAUAUUAUGGGAGUAGGCCUAACUAUUAACACAACAAACACAGACCAUAUACAACUGUGUGUACAUUUUCAGGUGAUUAAAGGGCACAUCAAUGUGUUUUGUGCUUA